UAGACAACAAUUACAUAACUCGUUGGACAACCAUUAAAAUAUCUUUAAUCGCGAUAGACAUUUACAAUAGGCGAAAAUAUCAUCUUUAUAAGUGAUCACAGAUAGGAUCCACAUCCUGUAGCUAACGCCCAACGAAUCCGGUAUUCGUAUUGCAACAAAAACGAUAAACUUUAAACCGAUUAUUGACUAUUCUACUGCAAAGCGGGUACCUCAUCCCUCCGUAAAUUUCGCU